UCUAAGACCAACCGUAAUGCUUAACAGUGGAAUUUAAGGAACUGUUGUUUUGUUGCAAAACCAGGAACAGGUAUGAAGCCAGACAGGUUUCCCUGUUUCGACUCCCCUCGUCCCAUGAGCCGUUGCGGAGUUCGCUGUAGCUGCUUGUCACAAAGUACGUCCAACUGGGCGGUUGUGCCACGGACAGAAGUGUAUUCUCUCACAGUUCUGGAGGUCAGAAGUCUGAAGUCAAGGAGUCAGUAGGGCUGUGCUCCCCCUGAUGGCUCCAGGGGGGGAUCUGCCCCUUGCCCCUUCCAGCUUGGGGGGGCACAGCGCUUCCCUAGUUUGUGGCCACAGCACUCCAGUCUUUGCCUCCACGGUCACAUUGCCGCCGCUUCCGCCUCAUUCGUGUAAAGACACUGGCCACUGGAUUAUUUAGAGCCCACGUGGAUAAUCCUGGAUAAGCACCUUCUUGAAAAAUCCUUAAUGUAAUCCCCUCAUUUGCCAUAAAGGCUGUCAAUAUGUUCAAAAGUCCGCAGUUACAGAAAGGAAGCAUGGGCUAGUCGCACCAGUAUCCCCUGGAGCUUGGUUUGGCAAGGGUUCCAUGGACAUGAGAAGCCCUUUUCACAACCACCACCACCGCCACAAAAGAUGCCCCCUACGGAAAAGAUUCUCCCUACUGUGCACAAGAUGACCGGCAAUUGAGUAACCAGGAAGCUGAAUUCUUUCUUUCCAGUUCCUUUCGAUUUGCAGCUCAGAGCUCAGAGUUUCAGUCUGGCAAGUAAAAAUGACCCUGACAAUCGUCUGCCUUCCCAAUGAGUUCUUGGAGGGGGUUGGCGCAAUCGAGUGAGAAACAGCCCUGAUCGGGGGCAUUCAUAAUCAGCUUCUCAUUUCGAAGCAGAGAAUCUCUGCCCUGCAGGCCUCAUAAGAACACGGGAGCAUAAAUCCUGAAGACUUAUGAGGCACUUUAUAUUUCAUACGCACUUAGCUAAAAUUAAUUACCCAAUUAAUCUCCAAGGAUGAUAACCAAAUGAAUUCUUCUACAGAUUAUCAUUAUUUAUUAACAGAUCAGAAAGCUGAUGAAGAUAUUUUGCAUGAGUUUCCACAGGGGAAAUGAGUCCCUGAGAAACCAAAUUCCAGUCCCUUCAAGGUCUCCCAGUGGAAGAGCAACAGAACCCAAAGUCACUGUGGAAGGUAGGACCCACGGAGGCAGGAUGCUGGGAUCUGCCCAUCUCGCUGUGUGAAAAUCAUGAAGUAACAAGACCCCUGGAGACUUCUAUUUCUCUGUCAGCCACAACACUAGAGUUCUGCCCCUGCUCCUCUUGCUGAGUUGACAAGGAAGUCUUCAUGGAAAUGAAGUCUUCAUGCAAAUGAAAAUGUUAUAUUCUAGCAACAUUGAUUAACUUGCAUAAGGAUAUGAGUAAGAGAUGCUGAGAUGUUAGAAGCCGGACCACAACUGGUGAGAAGCCAGCCUGGGAGAAUGAAAUUAACAUGGGAACCGGUGCUGGAGAGAGAGGCCUCCAGAGACCACACUGACUCUCAUUGACAGAACAGACAGACAUGCUCCAAAGCAAACCCAGCAAGACACAUGCGUCACAGAAGACUUGAGAACACGUUCCUCUGAAAGAGAAAGAGAGAGAAAGAGAGCACAAGCAGGGGGAGCGGCAGGCAGAGGGAGAAGCAGGCUCCCCACUAAGCAAGGAGACCAAUGCAAGCCUCGAUCCCAGGACCCUGGGAUCAUGACCUGAGCCGAAGGCAGACACUUAACCAACUGAGCCACCCAGGCGUCCCUACUUCUUGUCUUCUUGAUAAUAACAUUGUAACAGAUGUGAGAGAGAGACACAGCGAGAGAGGGAACACAAAGGGGGAGCAGGAGAGGGAGAAGCAGACUCCUCGCCGAGCAGGGAGCCCGAUGCGGGACUCGAUCCCGGGACUCCAGGAUCAUGACCUGAGCCGAAGGCAGUCGCCCAACCGACUGAGCCACCCCGGCGCCCAGAAAUCUUUCUAUUUUUAAAGAGAAGCCAGGAAUUCUACUUUUCAUAGAAAAGCUUCUAAUUCUUAAAUGUGCUAUCAAAUUCCACUGGGGGAGAAAACUCCACUGUGGCCACAUAACACAUAUGUACAUUUGGCCCAUGGUCAGCUUGUUAUCUCUGCAACUAAUAAUGUUUAAGGUAACUUUAAACCUGAGAUUCUUGGAAUAUUGGCUUUAUAGACUGGUUUAAUCCAGUGGUGGGUUAUUAACGACAAAUCCUGACAUUGACUGACGAUGUCCUAGGUUUGCAAACUUUCUAACUUUAACUUUUAUGCAAGGGGAUUGAUUUGUGUUUGCUCUAUUUUAUUUCACUGCUUUUUUUUGUCAUUAUCAUCAUUGCAUCAGAGGCUUAUCUGAUUAUUUUAUGUAACUUCAUCAACCACAGUGUUGAUUGAUAGCACAGGGACAGAGAAAGCCAGGUAAUCUUAUUAUGACUUCCUAGCACAGGGCUCAGCUCUCAGGGGGCAAGGACUGACUACGAUGAAUUAAAACCUUAUCCAAGAUGAUGCACACAUCAGUAGCCAUAUUUUGACGGUUCCAGUUUUGAGUGAUCUUUCCAGUGUUCUCUUAGCAAUUAGAAAAACCCCAUUUCUAGUGAAGCUCUUUUGACCAGAAGGUCAAAAAGGACUUCGAAUAGAAACUUUUAUCCUUCUGUAUCUUUAUCCUUCUAUAAAAGUGACAUCUUCCCUUCUUAAUUUGGGUUGAUAGAAGCUGUUUCCCCCUAUUAUCUGGAAUUCAGGAAAAAUGGUGCAGGAACCACUCCUGUCUUCUUGAGAGAGGAUAUAUAAUGUCCUAGAAGGUUGUAAUUGUUGAUUUCUAGGAUGAUCAGGAUCAACUCUGCUCUAGGCUAUAGAAGAAGCCCAAGUGCAGCCCUUUCCUUUCUUUUCUUUCUUGAGUUAGCCUUUUUGCUUGUUUAUUUGUUUUGCCACUGGAACGAUCCUAAAGUAAUGGUGCCUAGGAGGCUAUUUGGCCAACUUGUAGGGUUGCAAGACUUAGAGUUACUUUCUUUAGAAAAAGGAGACCCUGGAGUCCCAUGUGGUGUAUCCUCUUCACCAGGAAACAGGAUUAAGGAUAAGCCUGCGGUAAGGAACAUGAUGUGGGAAACAAAGGCAGAAGAAAAAUUAUUGAGUUUCCUUACUACCUACAGCCCAUUGACAAGUCCUUGAAACAGGCAGAGUGACAUUCCUCUAGGGACUCAACUGCCUCAACGUUAAUACUUUGCUAAGGGCAAAAGGCAAUCCUAGCCUGACUGCCACCGCCCCCCCCCCCCCCCCCCCCCCAGGAUCCUGUAAGUCUACUUUAACAUAUUCUUUUGGAAACUUCCUUUAUCUCUAAAUGCUCCCCCCUCCAAGAUACAUGUUGGUAAUCAUCCCCCAAGCAUAUGGCCCACCUAUAUACAUCUGAAGGGUCUCAUGACUAAGGUUUUAUUAGACGGUAAUAAAUGACCUUCUCCCGACAAUAACUAGCCCCCUCAAGGUCCUGGAAACCUUGCUUCCAAAAUUCCUUAGAGACUUACGCUAUCCCUAACCCCCUCCCAACUUGAAAGUCUAUAAUAGGCCACUCCUCAUGACUCCAUUGCAGCUCUUUCUGCCCAUGGGUCCUGUCCCCAUGCUUUAAUAAAAUCACCUUUUUGCACCAAAGACGUCUCAAGAAUUCUUUCUUGGCGGUCGGCUUCGAACCCUAAUAACGUCUUUCCUACAUCAGAACAGAGAGAAUUUUCCUGGGUCAUGCCUACUAUCUAUCUCUUUCCUAACAUAACAUGACAUGAGCAGUGUUGGGAGAAAAUCCUCCAACGGGCUCUAGGUUUCAGGUAUUACAAAUUGGGUUUGACUUCUAGAUUCUGACAGCCCCAACUUCCCUUUUGCUUCCCCCAGCCAUAGGAUGAUGGCUGUUUCCUGCACUCGCUGUCUGUGUCACCUUGCUGGGUCUCCUUUUGCCCUUUGGUCCCUCCAACAACUUGUGUAACCAGUUCCUCAUAUGAACUUGUCUGUUGCAAUUUCUGUCUUCCUGACUGGACCCUGACAGAUACAACUUGCUUUAACAUAAAUUCUUUACUUAUAUUUCCACUGGAGAAUUAUGUUGUUGGUAAAUAUUAGGGGUCCUUAAGAUUGCCAAUUUGACUUUUCUAAGAACCUUGCUUGAGGCAAGAAGUCGGAUGGAGGAAAGCAGUUAAAAUCAUGAACAAGUAUGGAUUUUGAGGUAACUUACUAUCCCAUUUCCUUUUUGUCAUUGUGUGUCAGGUGUUCGUUGGAAACAGCAUUUAGGGCGGUUUAUUCUUUUUAAGCUCACUCAGUUUCUGACUUUAAUGGACAAGUUCAGUCCAUUCAUAAUUAGUCUUACACUAAUAACAGAUAUACUUGAUUUUAAUUCUUUCAUUUUACUCUGAUUUUUAAAAAUGAACUUUACAGUUGUUUCCUUUUUUCUUUCCCCUGUUUUUCCUGGUUUGGUCAUCCUAACUU